rnacentral:ncRNA from 1 species
GUAAAAUUUUAUGAUAUUUAAUUAUGGUAUUGGAUAUAUUUAUUUGUUUGAUAUUUAUACGAAUUUUGUUUUAAAUUUGAUUUAAGUAGUAUAUAAGUUUAAUAUAUUAAGAAAAUUUAGAAUUAGUAAAAUAUUUUAGUAUUUGCAAAUUUUGUGCCAGCAGCAGCGGUUAUACUAAAAAUACAAAAUAUAUUUAUUAGUUUUAAUAAAAAAUAAAAUUUAUAAAAUUAUAAUUUAGAUUUUAAGGUGAAAUUUUAAUUUAAAAUUUAUUUUAAUAUGAAUUUUUGAGUUUAGGAAAUUUUUAUUUAAACUAGGAUUAGAUACCCUAUUAUUUUAAACGUAAAAUAUAAAGCUAAGUGAUUAAUAGUUAAGUUCUUUAAAGCUAAAUAAUUUGGCGGUAUUUUAAACUUUUCAGAGGAACCUGUUCUAUAAUCGAUAAUCCACGAUUGAAUUAACUUUAAUUAGAAAUUUUUAUAUCGUCGUUAUUAAAUAUUUUUUAAGAAUUUAAUAUUUAUAAUUUUUUAUUUUAAAUUAAAUCAGAUCAAGGUGAAGUUUAUAUUAAAGAAGAAAUGGGUUACAUUUAAUUGUAUUAAUGAAUUAUAUAAUUUAAAAAUUUUAUGAAAUUGGAUUUGAAAGUAAUUAAUUAAACUUUUUUUUAAUGAUUUAGCUCUAAAAUAUGUACAUAUUGCCCGUCGCUUUCACUUAAUAUGGAAUAAGUCGUAACAUAGUAGAUUUACUGGAAAGUGGUUCUAGAAUGUC